AUUGAACGCUGGCGGCAGGCCUAACACAUGCAAGUCGAGCGGACGCACGGUGAGCUCUCUCUCUUACCGUUAGCGACGGGCGGGUGAGUAAUACGUACAUCACCGACUGAUAAGGCUUGGGUAACGACGGGGGACCAGAUACACUACUGGCUCAUACGGCGAACGGGAGGGAUCAUUAGAGCUUGAGACCUUUGCUGACACUAGGAGGUGAUUCCGCGUUGGAUUAGCUAGUUGGUAAGGUAACGGCUAACCAAGGCUACGAUGCGUGGCUGAUCUGAGAGGGUGAUCAGCCACACUGGAACUGAGACACGGUCCAGACUCCUACGGGAGGCAGCAGUGGGGAAUCUUGCGCAAUGGGCGAAAGCCUGACGGAGCAACGCCGCGUGGGUGAAGAAGGUCUUCGGAUUGUAAAACUCUUUUAUUAGGGAAGAAAAAAUGUGAGAGUAACUAUGCCCGUCUUGACGGUACCUAAACAGAAAGCCACGGCUAACUUCGUG
rnacentral:rRNA from 1 species